UGGCACAGGGGGUCUUCUCUCUUGGCUUUGGAGCUCCCCAUUCCUCUGUGUCUGUAACAGGGGAGCUUCUUCCUUCUUUCUUCUCCCUUCUUUCUUGCCUGUUAAACUCUCUGCUUCUUAAAACCACUCCAUGUAUGUCCAGGUCAUUUUAUCUAAUUUGGAGACGGAGAACCCUGGUGUUCCUCUGCUCAUCAGAGCCGUCUCACCUGCAAGGGCCAGGAUCCAGCACUAGGGCUGCCCUUUAUGUUCAUGCAGCCUCCACUAGGAAGAUCCUCCUUAGCUGCCACCUGCUGUAAAGGGAUCUAUCUAUCUAUCUGUCUAUCUAUCUAUCUAUCUAUCUUUCUAUCUACCUGUCGAGAGAGAGAGAGGUUUAUUAUAAGGAAUUGACUCAUGUGAUUAUGGAGGCUGAGAAGUUCCACAGUCUGCUGUCUGCAAGCUGGAGACCCAGGAAGGCUGCUGGUGCCGUUCCAGUUUGAUUCUGAAGGCCUGAGAACCAGAACUGAUGCCCACUCAACAUGAAGAUGACAAGGAUGAAGACCUUUAUGAUGAUCCAUUCCCACUUACUGAAUAGAUGAAGCUUCUUGGUGAUGUAACAGUCUGUGGAAACUCCCACAGGACAAAUGCAGAAAGGAAGGACCUAGAUCACUGGAUGGUCAACGUUGCCCCUUGCACAGCAGCAAAGGCCUAUACAAAUUUUUUGAGUAGCUUUAUCUAGUGGUUCAGCUACUGGGAAUAACUUGUAAAAUCCCCUGGAUAGUCAACAGCAUUGGGGCUUGCUUUGUAAACAGAGACCUGACCUACUUAAUUCUUCCCAGAGGUUGGAAAAAGAGGCUGGACUCACACAGACAUGAAACCUUGGCUUAAUUGGACACUAAUUACUCAUAAGAGAUCUGUUUACCCGAACUUCCCCUAGACCAAGCUCAGUAUAAAAUGAGAGGAUGCAUAAAGAAGCAAGAUAUUUAGAGGAAAAUGUCACAAAUACAUUUAUCAGUCCCAAAAGUCCUUUUUUUUCCCCAGAAGUGAUGUUGCUAAUUGCACAAAAAUAAACAAUACAGGGGUUGAUAAAUUCCACAUUUAAGGGCUGAGGAUAGUGUCCCUACAUUUCUAAGAAGCUGUAUAUUUGGAAAUGAAUACAAUUGAAAGUAAGGAUAAGUGGCAUUCUAAAGCCAAUUGGAUAACUUGAAUGAACAAGCAGAAUUUACCAUAUUUUGAUAUGUUUCUUUUUGAUUAAAGUAUCUGUAAAGGAAACAAAUUAUAGUAUUGCUAUAGAUUUUAUUACUGAACAAGAAAAAAAGGCUUGAUGUUGUGCAUUUCCUUUUGGCCUUUGGUCUUGGCUGAUAUUGGGCAUCCAAUGAGCUUCUUUGUCUUGAAUGAAGACUUAAGAGGGAGUGAAAAGUAGGAAGAGCAUCAAAACUUCUUUGCAGGAUGUAAUCAAACCACCUACUACUUAUUGUCUUACGAUCCAUUUAUUCAACAAAUGGAACAUCUCAAUUGCUUGAUGCUAUUACAGACACUAGGUAUAGUCUUAGAAAAACAAAUUGCUGUUUUUAUAUAGCUUGUGUUAUGGGUUGAUGUAGUACAGUCAAAAUUAUUUAAAUAAAGGAAGAUGUGAGGAAGACUUUGAACUUAGAAAUCUGGGUUCUCAUCCAAGCUUUGCUGCUAGCUUGUUGGGGGAACCUUGGGUGAUGAGUUGGUUGACUCCUUCCAGAUCUCAGCGUUCAUCCAUCAAGUGAGGGAACUUGACCAGAUAUUCAAUAAUGGCCCUUCCAGCCCCAUCUCUAUAUGAAAGGGAAACCACAGUAUGGGCCCAUGGGGAAGAUCAUGGACUUUGGAGUAAAACAUUUCUGGCUUGGUCAAUUAUUUAAUCUCUUGAUCCCGAUCAAUUCAUGUAACUACUCUGACCCUCAGUUUCCUUGCUGCAAAAUGAGAUACUAAUAUUUGCUCAAAUAAGAUAACAGGCAAAACAAUCAUGAGGGCUCCUGGCACACCACUGUGCAUGGCUUUUGCUCCCUUGGGGAGCUUAUAAAUGAAAAAAAGAUUUUACAAUGCAAAGACAGUAAGCAUUUUGUUAGUGAAGCAACAAAAUAAUUGGGCAAUUUCCUCUCAAUUGCACCAUCAACUGAUGCCCAACCUAGAAAGCAUUUGGCUAAGAAUGGAAAAGGAAUCUUUGCCCAGAUCCCUCAAUUUUGACCAUCAUGGCAUAUACAUGAAUUGGCAGACUAAAUUUAUGCUCCUUUUGAAAACUGUGUCCAUUCCAAGAAGUCAGGCUAUUUUCACCCAGCCUGGUCUAGGCAGUGGGACUCCCCAAGGCUACAAGCAGAGCCACAGUGCUCUGGGCUGGGCUGCCACACUGUCAUGCUGGGGCAAAGAUGGCAGCAGACAGCUCUCUUGGGUAACAGCAGGAAGCUCUUUUCACAAGAGUGAUCUCAUCUCUUAGGGGACUAUGGUAGAAACACAGGGCAAAAGCUAUAGGAAUGGUCCAACAUAAUAACUGUUUUUUUUUUUAAUUUUCAAAACAUGAUAAAUGAUUAAGAAUAUAAAACUGGAAUUUAGAACUUACAGAGAACUUGUAUGAAUAAAUUAAAAAGACAACCUAAUUUUAAAAUGGGCAGAAGUCUUGGGCAGGCACAUUACAAUAUAGCAGGGGUCACCAAAUUAAAGCCUCACCAGCAAAAUCCACCUCCCAUCCCAGCCUGUUUUUAUAAAUAAGCUGUGUUGGAACACAGCCAAUCCCAUUCAUUCACACAUUGCCCAUGGCUGCUUUUGCUUGACAACAGCAUAGUUGAGUAGUAGGGACAAGACCAUAUGACCUCCAAAGCCAGAGAUAUUAACUGUCAGGCCCUUUAUAGAGUGAUUCACGGAGACCCCCAUAAUAGAGGAAAAUACAAGUGGCCAAUAGCACAUAAGAAGAUGCCCAGUAUUACAGCCAAGAGGAAAAUGCAAAUUACACCCACAGUAAGAUACCAUUAUGCAUCCAUUAGAAAGGCUAAAAUUAAAAGGACUGACAACAACAAGUGUUGACAAUGGUGGGUAACAGCAAGAGCUCUCAUACACUGAUGGUUGAAGUGUAAAUUGGUUCAGUUUUGGAAAAGAGUUUGGAGGUGUCUACUACAGUUAAACAUACAUAUUUCCAUGCCCCAGAAACUCCUGGGCAUAUUCUCAAAAGAAA
rnacentral:lncRNA from 1 species